rnacentral:sRNA from 1 species
CCCUAGCCCUGAUAAUAGUGAAAAUCCUUUCUAGUCCUGAACUUGUUUCAGGAUCCUGAAACAAGUUCAGGACUAGAAAGAUUGUAACGGAUAGCAGGAAAUAGC